UCCUUCAUCUCUCUUCUCUAGCACACUUUUCCCUCUCUCUCUCUCUCUCUCUUUCUCUCUCUCUUGUUCCAAUAUAGAGAAAACAAGAACAAAAAUGAAAUCGGAGAAACUGAUGAGCAUUAGAUCCAUGUAGACGCCAUCUAGAUCUAGAUCUGGACCGUCAUCUAGAUCUGGAUCCAUCAUGUUUCUUUUAAACCCGUCAAGAUCUAGAUCUGGAUCCAUCAUGUUUCUUUCCAAACCCCAUGAAGACAGAUCCUCUUUUUGGUUUAUUUUGAAGAAAAUCGUACACGAAGAAGAUGAUGAAUCAGAUAUAGAAGAGAAGGCUGAAGUUUUUGUUCGAAACCAGGGAAAGAUCCGGUGAAAUUACACAUUUUUUUACGUUUUUGAGGAGGCUAAAGGGGUUUGUUCGAAAAUCUUGUUCAAGAAGGUGAAUAAAUCUGUACCAACCAAAACAAUUUGAAGAUGAUGUUCCAGAUGUUGAAGAUGAUUCAAAAGAUGUUUAAUGUUAAACAUAGUUACGAAAUAUAACAAUCAAAGAAAAAAUGCAUGUUACAUUUUUUCGUGUUACAUAAAUAAUGCACGUUACUGAAAAUAAAGUGGAUUGUUACCCUUUUUUAGACUGUUGUAAAAAUAAAGUGUGUUGUUACA